AAGUGUUAACAGCACUUUUAGAAUUUGUCUGGUAGGCUUUCCAGUUUUUGCUGGAAAGCUCCU
ensembl:snRNA U7 U7 small nuclear RNA